rnacentral:tRNA from 2 species
GCGCCUGUAGCUCAAUUGGAUAGAGCAUCGGUCUACGGAACCGAAGGUUGCAGGUUCGAGUCCUGCCAGGCGUG